UAGCCUGUAAGUCCAAUUGUUUGUGAGUAUCCCGGCUGUCACCCGGGAGACCGGGGUUCGAUUCCCCGCCGGGGAG